UCAGCUUACCCUGUGAAGGCCUAAUAGUAAGCAAAAUGAGUUAAACCCAAAACGUCAGGUCGAGGUGUAGCGCACGAGGUGGGAAGAAAUGGGCUACAUUUUCUACCACAGAAUACUACGAAUAAUGCCUUGAAACCGGCAUCUGAAGGAGGAUUUAGCAGUAAAAAGUAAAUAGAGUGUACUUUUGAAUUAGGCUCUGAGGCGCGCACACACCGCCCGUCACUCUCCCCAACACACCAAUUAAUUAUUUAUAAUAUUAAAACAACAACACGGGGAGGCAAGUCGUAACAUGG
rnacentral:rRNA from 1 species